rnacentral:rRNA from 1 species
UUAAGCGACUAAGCGUACACGGUGGAUGCCCUGGCAGUCAGAGGCGAUGAAGGACGUGCUAAUCUGCGAUAAGCGUCGGUGAGGUGAUAUGAACCGUUAUAACCGGCGAUUUCCGAAUGGGGAAACCCAGUGUGUUUCGACACACUAUCAUUAACUGAAUCCAUAGGUUAAUGAGGCGAACCGGGGGAACUGAAACAUCUAAGUACCCCGAGGAAAAGAAAUCAACCGAGAUUCCCCCAGUAGCGGCGAGCGAACGGGGAGGAGCCCAGAGCCUGAAUCAGUGUGUGUGUUAGUGGAAGCGUCUGGAAAGGCGCGCGAUACAGGGUGACAGCCCCGUACACAAAAAUGCACAUAUUGUGAGCUCGAUGAGUAGGGCGGGACACGUGGUAUCCUGUCUGAAUAUGGGGGGACCAUCCUCCAAGGCUAAAUACUCCUGACUGACCGAUAGUGAACCAGUACCGUGAGGGAAAGGCGAAAAGAACCCCGGCGAGGGGAGUGAAAAAGAACCUGAAACCGUGUACGUACAAGCAGUGGGAGCCUCUUAAUGGGGUGACUGCGUACCUUUUGUAUAAUGGGUCAGCGACUUAUAUUCUGUAGCAAGGUUAACCGAAUAGGGGAGCCGAAGGGAAACCGAGUCUUAACUGGGCGUUAAGUUGCAGGGUAUAGACCCGAAACCCGGUGAUCUAGCCAUGGGCAGGUUGAAGGUUGGGUAACACUAACUGGAGGACCGAACCGACUAAUGUUGAAAAAUUAGCGGAUGACUUGUGGCUGGGGGUGAAAGGCCAAUCAAACCGGGAGAUAGCUGGUUCUCCCCGAAAGCUAUUUAGGUAGCGCCUCGUGAAUUCAUCUCCGGGGGUAGAGCACUGUUUCGGCAAGGGGGUCAUCCCGACUUACCAACCCGAUGCAAACUGCGAAUACCGGAGAAUGUUAUCACGGGAGACACACGGCGGGUGCUAACGUCCGUCGUGAAGAGGGAAACAACCCAGACCGCCAGCUAAGGUCCCAAAGUCAUGGUUAAGUGGGAAACGAUGUGGGAAGGCCCAGACAGCCAGGAUGUUGGCUUAGAAGCAGCCAUCAUUUAAAGAAAGCGUAAUAGCUCACUGGUCGAGUCGGCCUGCGCGGAAGAUGUAACGGGGCUAAACCAUGCACCGAAGCUGCGGCAGCGACACUAUGUGNNNNNNNNNNGCCUGCGCGGAAGAUGUAACGGGGCUAAACCAUGCACCGAAGCUGCGGCAGCGACGCUUAUGCGUUGUUGGGUAGGGGAGCGUUCUGUAAGCCUGUGAAGGUGGCCUGUGAGGGUUGCUGGAGGUAUCAGAAGUGCGAAUGCUGACAUAAGUAACGAUAAAGCGGGUGAAAAGCCCGCUCGCCGGAAGACCAAGGGUUCCUGUCCAACGUUAAUCGGGGCAGGGUGAGUCGACCCCUAAGGCGAGGCCGAAAGGCGUAGUCGAUGGGAAACAGGUUAAUAUUCCUGUACUUGGUGUUACUGCGAAGGGGGGACGGAGAAGGCUAUGUUGGCCGGGCGACGGUUGUCCCGGUUUAAGCGUGUAGGCUGGUUUUCCAGGCAAAUCCGGAAAACCAAGGCUGAGGCGUGAUGACGAGGCACUACGGUGCUGAAGCGACAAAUGCCCUGCUUCCAGGAAAAGCCUCUAAGCAUCAGGUAACAUCAAAUCGUACCCCAAACCGACACAGGUGGUCAGGUAGAGAAUACCAAGGCGCUUGAGAGAACUCGGGUGAAGGAACUAGGCAAAAUGGUGCCGUAACUUCGGGAGAAGGCACGCUGAUAUGUAGGUGAAGCGACUUGCUCGUGGAGCUGAAAUCAGUCGAAGAUACCAGCUGGCUGCAACUGUUUAUUAAAAACACAGCACUGUGCAAACACGAAAGUGGACGUAUACGGUGUGACGCCUGCCCGGUGCCGGAAGGUUAAUUGAUGGGGUUAGCGGCAACGCGAAGCUCUUGAUCGAAGCCCCGGUAAACGGCGGCCGUAACUAUAACGGUCCUAAGGUAGCGAAAUUCCUUGUCGGGUAAGUUCCGACCUGCACGAAUGGCGUAAUGAUGGCCAGGCUGUCUCCACCCGAGACUCAGUGAAAUUGAACUCGCUGUGAAGAUGCAGUGUACCCGCGGCAAGACGGAAAGACCCCGUGAACCUUUACUAUAGCUUGACACUGAACAUUGAGCCUUGAUGUGUAGGAUAGGUGGGAGGCUUUGAAGUGUGGACGCCAGUCUGCAUGGAGCCGACCUUGAAAUACCACCCUUUAAUGUUUGAUGUUCUAACGUUGGCCCGUAAUCCGGGUUGCGGACAGUGUCUGGUGGGUAGUUUGACUGGGGCGGUCUCCUCCUAAAGAGUAACGGAGGAGCACGAAGGUUGGCUAAUCCUGGUCGGACAUCAGGAGGUUAGUGCAAUGGCAUAAGCCAGCUUGACUGCGAGCGUGACGGCGCGAGCAGGUGCGAAAGCAGGUCAUAGUGAUCCGGUGGUUCUGAAUGGAAGGGCCAUCGCUCAACGGAUAAAAGGUACUCCGGGGAUAACAGGCUGAUACCGCCCAAGAGUUCAUAUCGACGGCGGUGUUUGGCACCUCGAUGUCGGCUCAUCACAUCCUGGGGCUGAAGUAGGUCCCAAGGGUAUGGCUGUUCGCCAUUUAAAGUGGUACGCGAGCUGGGUUUAGAACGUCGUGAGACAGUUCGGUCCCUAUCUGCCGUGGGCGCUGGAGAACUGAGGGGGGCUGCUCCUAGUACGAGAGGACCGGAGUGGACGCAUCACUGGUGUUCGGGUUGUCAUGCCAAUGGCACUGCCCGGUAGCUAAAUGCGGAAGAGAUAAGUGCUGAAAGCAUCUAAGCACGAAACUUGCCCCGAGAUGAGUUCUCCCUGAGACUUAGAGUCUCCUGAAGGAACGUUGAAGACGACGACGUUGAUAGGCCGGGUGUGUAAGCGCAGCGAUGCGUUGAGCUAACCGGUACUAAUGAACCGUGAGGCUUAACCUU